UUUGUAUCUUUUUCUUCAUCUUGUUCUUCUUCUAUUGUUGUCGUACUACCAAAUUCAUCUUUUAUAGCUGUUUCAUAUUUUUUUUAAUAAUUCUAUAGGGGUUAGUUUAAACUUAUUCUUAUAAUAUAUAGGUUUUCUUAUUUCUGUUGUUUUAGGUAUUAUAUUUUCAUCUUCUUUUUUAUCAAGAGUAUUUAUUUCUGUGUGGGUACUUUCUAAGUUUUCCUCAUUAAUUUCUUUUUGUUUUUCAUUGAUUUCUAAAUUUUUUGUAUUUGUUAAUAUUUCUGUAUAUGUUUCACUAUCUUCGGAAUCAUAAUUAUCUGUCUCUGUCUCUUCAACAUCUAUAUUAUUUAUUUCUAAUUCUUUGUUUUUUAUUUC
rnacentral:lncRNA from 1 species